rnacentral:tRNA from 1 species
ACUUUAAAUGGAAAAUAGCUACCCAU